rnacentral:tRNA from 1 species
GGCUCGGUAGCCUUAGUUAGUAAGGCGCUCGUCUAGCAUACAAGAGUCCUGGGUUCAAAUCCCAGCCAAGCAA